GUUUGUCAUUUGUAAAUUUUAUAAAUUUACCACAAUGCAAAGUGACUAUUUAAGGAAAUUAUUAUGGGAAACUCCGCAGAUGUUUUAGAAAGAUAUUCAUUGAAGCUGAAAAUAAUUGGAGAUAUAGAUCCAUAUACAUGCAAUUCAGUCAUCAGAAUUGGAUUUUACAGUGCAUUUCAUCAAUUACUGUUAUAAUGCUAUUAUAGAUAGACUGGUAGAGUCUCACAGUUACUACUUUAAGCAGCAGAUGAAAGCAUACAAAAGCCUUCAGACACAUAAAAGCCUUCACAACUGGAUUUGUUUUGAAACAUUUGAUGUUUUGAUGAUUUCUAUAUUAUUGUUGGAAAGGUGAAGAAUUCCCAAAAAGCUAAUGCUAAACCACUAGAUGCUUGGGUGAUAGCCAGUUUCAAUGGCAUAGCAAAUGCACAUUGUAUGUGUAUUGCCGGUAAUAGUGAAGUUUGCAGCCAUAUUGCAGCAAUCUUAUUUGCAGCUGAGUAUGCCCACAGCAAGACAGAAGAAGAAGAACCCAGUGCAUGUACAGAUAUUACAGCUAUGUAUAUUCUCUGGUGAAAAACUAAUGAGUUUUCAAGCUGUUCGGUCAGAGUGCUUGUUGCGCUCUCUAAACGAACUGAAAUAUAAGACGGCUUUGGCUUCAUGUUGCAGCGAUAUGAAAAUGGUUAGUCAUUUUUAAUUAUAAUGUACUUCUUCAUCAUGAGUAUUUAUGUAUAGGGCUUUCAUUCACAGUCAUUUGUUUCGAGC
rnacentral:lncRNA from 1 species